rnacentral:tRNA from 1 species
GUCUAAAUAGUUUAAGUGGAAAAUGUUGGUUUGUGGUGCCAGUGAUGUAGGUUUUAUUUUAGAUU